AUAACUACUGGAAACGGUAGCUAAUACCGCAUAACGUCGCAAGACCAAAGAGGGGGACCUUCGGGCCUCUUGCCAUCAGAUGUGCCCAGAUGGGAUUAGCUAGUAGGUGGGGUAACGGCUCACCUAGGCGACAAUCCCUAGCUGGUCUGAGAGGAUGACCAGCCACACUGGAACUGAGACACGGUCCAGACUCCUACGGGAGGCAGCAUG
rnacentral:rRNA from 1 species